rnacentral:misc_RNA from 1 species
AUGGUAUUUAAGGGAGACAAUCUUGGCUUUAUGCCUUUAUUGAAAAAUUAACAUUCACAUUUCCUUCCUUUUCAUCUUUUCCGUCUUUCUUUUUGUUUGAGAAUUUCAUGUAAUUUGUGGACAACACAAGGCCAUACUAUUUUGAGCAUACUAUAUUAUUUCAAUAAUGGCCUCCAUAUUACUCAAGAAUGUACAAUUGCAAUUCUUGGCAUUUACAAAGGUCUAAGAACUUGGUCUCUUGAUAUAGUGGUAGUCCGAGUAAAUCCUGGUUUCUUGAGAUAGGAGAAAAAUUGCUUAGUAUUAAUUACUAAAGAACAAUUCAAAAGCAACUUUUGUUUCAUUCUACAAACUUAGCCGUUAGAAAAGAGAAUGUUCAAGUUUAAUGUUAGGAUUUCAGAUAUUUCAAUGCUUCAUAAUAUAAAAGGAAUGGCUGAAAAGAUUCAAUCCAUUUUGUAUGACAAGUUGACAACAGUUUAAGUAUGUUGUCUUGGUCAUUCAAAUAUUUCAAUACUUCAUAAUUAGAAAAGACAACAAACUCUUGGUGAUAGGCUAAUUUGCAAGUGCAUGAAAUCGCAACAAGUAACAAAGUGAUAAGAAGUAUUGUUCCUUCAAG